rnacentral:rRNA from 1 species
AAAUGAAUUGACGGGGACCCGCACAAGCAGCGGAGCAUGUGGUUUAAUUCGAAGAUACCCGAAAAACCUUACCAAGGCUUGACAUUCUGGCGCAUAGCCGCGAAAUCGGUGAAAGAGUAGCAAUAUUUCGCCAGAACAGAUGGUGCAUGGUUGUCGUCAGCUCGUGUCGUGAGAUGUUCGGUUAAGUCCGAUAACGAGCGCAACCCUUGUCGUUAGUUGCCAUCAUUAAGUUGGGAACCCUAGCGAGACCGCCGUAGAUAAUAUGGAGGAAGGCGGGGAUGACGUCAAAUCAUCAUGCCUCUUACGCCUUGGGCUACACACGUGCUACAAUGGCCACUACAAAGAGCAGCAAUAUAGUAAUAUGGAGCGAAUCUCAAAAAAGUGGUCCCAAUUCGGAUUGAGGGCUGCAACCCGCCCUCAUGAAAUCGGAGUUGCUAGUAAUCCCAAAUCAGCAUGUUGGGGUGAAUGCGUUCCCGGGUCUUGUACACACCGCCCGU